UUUUUGGGAACAAAUGAUUCUUUGAAAUCGAAGCAAAACCCUAAAUGUGGACAAAAUAUUUCUGCAAAUUGAUACUUGUCGGUUACUGUUUGGGACACGUUGCUCCUUGUUCAGUGAGGAUGCAGCUUAACUUCGUUGCAGGGAAACCAAGAGAAAGACAGAGAUACAGAACGAGAGGAGGCAAGGUCGUUUCCUAGAUAACAGUUGCAAGGUACAGUUGGCUCGCAUGCCUCGAACCAUGCGAUCGAGCGCGAUCAUGAAAGGAGAGAAAGGGAAGGAAAUGAUUCCAUUAGCUAUAGAUAUAAAUUAUCGUUUGUUUAUCGGUUAACCAAUUUCUGGGACACAUGGUACACCGAACGAGCUAUACUCGUAUGAGUAGGAAUCAGCUUGAGGAAACCCGAACCGAGCGAAAAGGAUUUCAAUUGGGGAAAAUAAUGAAUAACGUGUUCGUCGUUUUACCGUUGUGUGCAAUAGAAUGUUAAAUUUCAAUCGAGAUACUGGUAGAAAAAUAAAUGAAGUUGUACGUGUAAAUUUUACAAAUCACUAGACAACAGAUUAUCUUAUUUGUCGCAAUAUUGUAAACUCAUGAAAAAGAAAUCUUAUAAUCUGUAACUUUCAUCUUGUCAAUUCCCUAAUCUUGUUAGUUGGUAAAUUAUUGUGCUAGAGGUUUCUGGUAUCUCUUAAUGUAUUUUUAAGUGUCUAAACUUCCUACGACGCAGCAGUAUCUCUAUAAUCACUUAACUCAUCCUGUUCACAAAUGACUACACUACAAAGUAAAUAAAUACCCGGUGACGAUACUCGACUCACUUUCGACUUCUCCAUCUUACAAUUUUGUUCUGUUUACUGUGUCACUGUCACAUUUACGAUUAUCUAUUUAGAACUCGAAUACGAUACUAGCACAGACACAAAAAAAGAAAAGAGAAAGAAAAAGAAAGAGAAAAAUAGAAAGAGGGCAGUGAUCAAUGUCGCGUUAUCUUAGCGAGGUAUUCGAAAAAGCAAACAUGCGUAAGAGGAAGGAGCGACGCCUGUGGGAGAGCCAGGAGACAUUUGUUAUGCGGUUGCGGGAUAAGUGGCCUCGCGAACGAGUAUAAUGAGUGUAAACGUUGGGCAAAAACACAGGAAGACGGGGUUAUUGAUGCAAGUAACCACAUUGUUGGAAUGACUAUGCGAAAUUCACCGGAGAAAUAUGCUCGAAGGCGAUCCCGACGCGCUUUGACGCCGCUGUAAGAGCCAGCAGGUAGCGGCCAACGAUCCUCCUCCCCCUUCCACCACCUUUUUCCCUCUACUCUCUCCAUCUUUCUUGUUCUACCGCCCUCUAGCGUACGUUGCUCGUGUGCGAAUGUAAUUUUGCGACUACACGCCAUUGAAAGAAACAUUAUGUAUGACCGUGUGAUUACUCCGUCCGUUAUAACAGUAUACCAUCGCCAAGCUCUUAAAGAGCCAGUUAAUAGGAGAGCCGAGCCAUCGAAUAUUUCAUUCAAAUCAGCGGUAAGAGGAUGCUUCUGACUGGCUUUCGCUAGGCCGCCAUAUUGGUGAAAAAGAAAUCGCUGGAUAGGACAAUAGAGGUUAGAUGAGCAAUUUACGAUACCCAUUUGGAGGAUGAUAGUUGCGCGAAGUGUAAUACCAAGAGUAAUAUCGUGAUGAUGUUAAUACAGCUGGAGUAGCAAGUUUGAGGAGAAUGGUGAUGGGAUGAGGUUCAAUUCGUGAAAGGGUUGGAGAUUAUUCAUUGAAAUUUUAGUGGUAGCAGUUAUUUGUUACAUUGCUACCAGUGUUGAUAUCUAAAGACAUUUAUUAAGAGACUGUCAAGAGAGAAAGAUUUAACAUUCCACUAAGAAAGAUUAAACAAUUAAUAAUGAGUCCAAAGAAAUAAUUCCAAAUUUCUAACAAAUCAAACAAGAUUAUCAAAAUUUUCAAUUUUCUUCUAUAAUUACGCUAUCGAUGACAAGAUAAAAAGAAAAAAUGUCGAUCGAUCAACAGGAGAAUCGAAUAGAGGAAGAUCAGACGAAGAAGAGGUUGAGGUUACAUUAUCGGCGUGAUAUCUUGGCGCUUAUUUUCUUUAGUCAGGUCCACACACGGUUGGGAAGAACGAGCAGAGCAAAGAGUGAUGUAAGAGAGAUGUACCUACAGGGCGUCUUUUCUUCCUUCUUCUUCUCUUCCACCUUCUCUUCCAUCCCUGUUCCUGGCGUCUUCAACCCCCUCCACUUCCACCCUCCUCCAACACCACUACAACCCGACCCGACUGCGUCUCUUCCUUUAACUUUUACGAACAGUUCUCGCUUUCUUUCUGUUUCACGCCAGUCCAUUCGAAGGAAGCACCCAUCCAGCCCUGGCUCGGUUGAAUUUAACGUGGCAGGUGCCUGCUGAAUGGACAUUGGGCCCCGGUUCUCUUCGUUUCCUCUCCUUCACCAUAGCCUUUUCCGUUUCUUUCCUUCCACGAUUUCUCUGUUCUCCUCUUCUAUCGUUCGCGAUCUUCUCAGCUCUUCUCUAUCUGCCGCUCUAUGUCAGCGUUGCCCAACUGUGGGUCCCAACGGACUCGUUACAUCUCGUAGUAUCGGGUCUGAAACGACGCUAGGUGUUCUGUUUAUUCGCUGAAUGAGAAAUAUUUCGACUCUUUGGCGAUUAGUGCUGAGCCAUAAAGAGACAAAGUUGAGUUAACACAACGAUCCGUUUAUAAUAUUUAACCUUGUUAAUUUACAUUAUUGAAUUCUAUCGAAUUCGCAUUGCGAAUUAAUUUUAAAGAAUUUAAAGAAUAUACUCAAUAUCUUUUUCGAGAAGUCCGUUUUAUUUUCAUAAACAUAUUCCAACCAGUGAAAUGUUCCUUUAUAUCAAUGGAUGACUGCAAUUUACACAUUGUGCCAUUCAAAAAGCAUUUAUUCCAAUAGCGACUCCCUUGUAAGUAUUAAAAGAGUCCAGAACUAUAUACUAAAAAAAAGUAACUGUCGUCAAGACCCUUCAUGGAAUCUAGUGUGACUAAAACCAUUCUAGUUUAUUACCGUAAAUUGCUGUAUUAGCGACUCAGGUCACCAUUUCUGAGAACCAUUUGAGAAGUCACAAAAGUAGAGUCUCGUAAAGUGAACUUGAUUACCAGCUGAGCUAUAUAAACUUCUACUAGUAACCUUGGUUAACAAUACAAAAAAAUACAAGUACAAGGGAAGAGUUGGAACGAUAGCUUCUAUCGACCAGAUGCCUCGCAUAGCAACUUUCUCUGCAGAUGUGAAUCAAUAUAUCUUGUUUUGCAACAGUUUAAAGAAAUGUAUUAGGUUAUUCGAAAAUAUAUAAAUAUAUAAAAACGAAGUAUCUCCACUUUGGCAAUAAUGACCCCUAGUUCAAUGUCGGUAAGUGGGGCAGUACGAAUGUUGUGAGUUGUGAGCCACUUGCGCGGUUGGUAGAGGCACGCGAUGCACACAAAUGAAGCGCUCGCACGCAUUUGCGAAACACGCUAAACAGAUGCUCGUCACGAAUGCUUGCUAAUAUCCGUUUAUUUUGCAGGACGAAGAAGCCGAAAAUAGAUCAAAGCGAGAAUAUCUGAACGUACUCAGAUCACGUGUAACUCUGAUCAAGAUCAUUUCUUCCUCGUUACGAUUGGUUUUACUUACCUAAUUUCUCUUUUACUUAACGUUUUACUAACUUCUACUGUACUAAUACUACUGAUUAACCAAGGAAGACGAAAUAACUCGUUUCACGUUCACUGCCGAGUAACUUCUUAGACAUAAUAAUUCCUUUGUUUAGAUUCUCUAUAUGUACUUUAAUGCGUUGAUUCGUUUCUGUUAAAAAUAAGUUCUAUAACGUGUUAAAAAGACAUUUGUCAUUAAGAAAUAAGCAGAGCUUCAUUAAGGAUCGGUUUGCGUGUUUUUAGUUGUACUUCCUGAUGUGUAAUUUAUGAGAUUAGAAGCCAACGAACAAAAGGUUGCACUACAUCAAAUUCGUUGGCAUGCGCAGACGGCCUCUUUGGUUAUUGUAGCGCGUGCGUGCACGCGUUGACUUCUCGAUGGGACGUCGGGAUAUGGAAGGCCGCCGCAGUAGAAAAAGAAGUAACGCGAAGGCUCGUCAACGAGAGUGACUCUCUCUGUAAAUGAUCAGGAGUACGCCGCCGGACAGUUCUUCUUGCCUUUUCGAGCGAUCGCUUGCGAAACCGACGUGUCUACCAGUUCCAUUGGUUGCGCUGCUAUUCUUCUUAAUUUUUCCCAUUUCAACGAAUUUGUUCAAAUGGUUUCAAGAUUAAUUUGAAAUUGGGGAUGAUUCCCGCACCUUAGUUCAUUACGGACCAAUCUUGCGUUAACGUAACGUUCCAUUUGCAAUUUUUUUCGACCGAUUAUCUUAGAAUUUACUAUUAUUUAUAUCUUCUUUUUUCUUUGAACUAAGAAAUUGGAAAUGUUGAUGCCGAAUUGACAUCCGAUUUGUUGAAGAUCGUAUAUAAUACAUAUGUUAGGUAAGAUUUGCGCAUAAGACAAGUCGCGGCAAAUGUAACGUUCCAGCAGGAUGUACGCGUGUGAAGGUAUAGUACAGGAAUGGCGGGAAAAAGGAAAACUACAAAAUUGCCGUGAAGCGACCGCACAAGUCGACGAUGAGGCAAGUAUCACGUUGGUCUGUAACCCGACGUUUUGCUGGCAUUUGCGCCUCUUAAGGCGAUCACUUUUCAUUCUGCUUCCGUUUCUCUUGCACUCGUUGUCUUGUUCCUUUGCUUCGUUCCCGUAUCUUCCGCUUCUAUUGCUCUAUUUGGCGCCUUUCAAAUUGUCCAGAGACGAGCAAGAAUAUGAAUUAUACAAAUAGAGGUGAAGUGAUAAAAUGUAUUUUUACAGGGAUGAUUCUUGUUUCGGAAUGUUUUCAUGGGCAAUUUUGUGUUCCUUUUCACAUAAUCUAAAUUGUAUCAACCAAUGUAUGUACCACAAUAUGAAUUUAAAUUCAAAUAACUUCAUAUUUCAUAAAUGAGAUACCAUAUCUUAGUGGAGAAGGAUAUCAUUAAUUAAUAAAUAAUAAAGUUAUAUUAGUUCGUUGUCGACUGCAGGCCAGUUAGUGAGCAGCUCAAGGUCGGGGCGGUUGUUCGAACCAAGGCCAGAUCCCAGUUUCCUCGACUUUUCAACGUUUUAUUGGAAACAUGAGAUGAGCGGACGCAACCGGCGUGUACCUCGUAAAUUUGAAACCAUUACACUAGCCUCAUAUUGUAUAUGGGGUGUCCCAGUAAUCAUGGGACAACCAGGAAGGGGAUGAUUCUAUACGAUAAAACCAGAUGAAAAUCUAGAAUAAGAUCUUCUCGCAUGGAAUUUUGUUUUUAAGAAGAUCAACUUAAUAUCAACAAACGCUACAACAAUCCAGGUUUUUAAAGUCUGAUAUUAAACAUUUUGAAUUCCGUAUCUUCAAUUCAUUUUCUCAGAUAGAAUUAUCAUCUUCGUUAUGAUUACUGAGACACCUUGUAUAAAUAUCCUUUCUUACUCUUCCCCAACUAUUAUUUACAACAUUUGCAUUGGCGGACAUAUUCAAGCACAGGAAGUAUCGAAUGGUAAUACUCGCUAUUCAGCCACAAGGUGGAGUCAAGAUGAAUACCCUUGUCCAACGAUCAGCUCUCAUUAACAUUUGUUUUUUUACAACAAAUAUGUAAUUGUAAAAUGUUGAACGCUAUCCACGGUUACUGUAACCAGAUACUUGGGCAAAAUUUAGUCUCCACUCACGAUCCAUUCACGAAUAAUAUAAUCAAUGACUCGAUGUUGCACUAAUAGUGUAAAAAUAGGAGGAAGUACAUUAUAUUAUUUUGCGCUAAAAAAUAUGUGAUGUCACGUGAUGUCAUGUGAUAUUCAAGUUUAGUUAGAGAUGACAUUACAUAGAAAAAAAUAAUCCAGACUUAUUAACUCGUUCGUAAAUAAUAAUACUUAUCGAUAUUCAUAAUAUGUCUUAUUUCUCGUAUAUGUACACAUAGGAAGAAGACGCGGCGCGGUAAAUUCAAAAAUGAAACCAAAUGUGAAAUGCUUUAGAACGUAACUAUCUAUUGCAAUCUCCAAUUGUUGAUAAAAAAUUUAAUAGAAGUAAUAUGUAAAUCUUUGAUAAAAAUAGUAAACAAAAAAUAUUAUAUUAGUGGAACAUCUCAGCUUUUUCCACAGAAGACAUCAAAGAACGUCAUACAGUGGACGUAAUCGCAACGAAUGGAUAACCAUGAUUCCCGCACGUAAAGUUUGUUCACUAGGUUUUCGCCGUUUUCACUAUUUCCUAACUCGAAGUCCGCGUCGCGGCAAGUCGUUCCUCGUAACAACGGCGUAAACCCGUCGGUGUGCUUUAGCCUCUUAAUAGUCCGACCUUGAGCCAGAACUAAGGAGUGCCUUUGCUACAGCAUAACCUUCGUAUACCUUCAUCAGCAGGGCUCAACCUACGUCUGACAGCAUACUUUUGUUUUCUCCGUUCUACGUUAAUUGAAUCGAGAAAUUCUGCUUGUCCUCAUUUGAUACCUUUUCGCUGUUGUGGAUCGUGUCAUUUUGCAUAUAUGUCGCUUCACUUAUGUUGGAGAUUGGGGAAUACCGAUGAAAUUCAAAUAUGAAGUUUCGACCACAUUGAAUUUCGGUACCAACAUAUAUUUUUUUAUAAAUGUUAAUAAGUCCACAUAAAACUUCAUGUAUAUAUAUUUUUAUGUUCUAUCUUUUUUAUAUAUCCCAUUUAUUUUUUUUAUAAAAUUGGUGAGUUAUCGAAAUACGAAUUGUUGUAUAAUUACCUUGAAUCAUUGAUUCAAGCGCAAAUUUAAAUAGUACACAUGUGUUGAAACAGCCCGUACGCUAGCAACAGUUAUUCAUACUUUCAAUUAGGUGACAAGAUAAAAGCGCAAUGGUAUACACGGUGAAUGGAUCCCGCGUGUCAUGUGUUGUUUAAUAGAGAGGCUUAGAAGCAUCUUUUCCUUCACGACAAUUUUACGGAUUACAUAACUGAUCCUUUAAAAGAACGAUAAUAAAAUUGUAAAAAUCUUUAAUCUCUAAAAUAGAUUACCAUCAUUGCUAGUGUAAAUGCUAUGUAAUCGAUAUUACCACGAAAUCAAAUUAUCGACAUACAGUGAGAGAAAUCCCUCAGUCGAUAAAACAUUCAGAAGAACGCAGAGGAUGCAAAUGGAGGAUGAAAGGGCACGGGAGAAGCGCGUUCCAACAAAAAUGGAAGAAACGCCGCGUAUGGUCUAGCGCUCGAACGUCCGAAGACAAAUUAAUCUUCGCCACGAUUCAACAGCGUGAGAUGGAAUGCGUUCGAGGGAGUAACGGGUACAAAAUAUCUUGCAUACACGAAUCGCGAGGCCACCUCUUCUCACCGUAUCCAGGGACGACUAACCAAAAGAUAUUAUCGCAGCACAAGGAGGAUUUGGAAGAAAGCGCGAAAUAGGGAGAGAAAAGAAAAAGGGCCUAUGAAGAUCCGUCCCUGGCCUCGGCGAAACCGGGCGGGCUGCUAACUCACCUCGUGCCACAU